CACCUUUUAGUGCUUACCACAGUCUGUGUUCUUACACUGACUAUGUAGAAAGAGGAGGCAAAGUAAACCUACCCCAUAUAUACCUCAGUUUAGGCCCUGUGCCUAGUUUAUAUUAUGAAUGGGGAGACAUGG
rnacentral:snoRNA from 1 species